rnacentral:misc_RNA from 1 species
GAUGAAGAACGUAGUGAAAUGCGAUACUUGGUGUGAAUUGCAGAAUCCCGUGAACCAUCGAGUCUUUGAACGCAAGUUGCGCCCGAAGCCAUUAGGCCGAGGGCACGCCUGCCUGGGCGUCACACGUCGUUGCCCCCCCAUCUACUCCUUCGGGAUUGCGGGGGGCGGAUGAUGGCCUCCCGUGCGCCUCGUCGCGCGGUUGGCAUAAAUGCCAAGUCCUCGGCGACGCACGCCACGACAAUCGGUGGUUGCGAAACCUCGGUUGCCCGUCGUGUGCGGUCGUCGCGCAUCGAGGGCUCGAAAAAAUUGCCGGGCUUCGGCUCGACUUUCAACGCGACCCCAGGUCAGGCGGGGUUACCCGCUGAAUUUAAGCAUAUCAAUAAGCGGAGGA